UUCCCCCUAGCCUUCCCCAUUCCGCCUUAAGACCUGACCAAGUAGCAUCAUCCCGCCACGCCUUGCACUUGAGCCACCUUAAGAGCUGAGCAAUGCUCUGGCCUCUCGCCAAGCCCCACCCCCGCUGGCUCUCGCUCCGCCCCUUUCUCCUCCCGCUCUGCUGGGGGAGAGCUGGGGAGCCCCAGUCUGGCCGGAGUUGGCUGGAGCUGUUGCCAUGACAAGCAUUUUCUUAAGACAGCUCUGCUGUUGAGUCGGUCCUAGGCUGGGGGUGGGGUGGGGGCACGAACUUCUUAGGGGUCCAUCCCUCCGAAGACAGCGAGAUCAGACACCCGCCCAGCUCCCUGCACCCAUUUUCUUCCAGGGAAGGUCCUUCUUCGCAAGGAAGGGUUGGGGAAGAAGACCCAGCCCACUCCCCCCGGCUGUAGCUGAAAGGCCAGAGCGCAAAGCCAGCAUCACUAGGUGGUUUGCCACAGUGGGGAGAGCGGUGGGUGGUCACCCCACCCUACUCGGUCGGUCCAUGGAAACGCGCAGGGACGGUCCCGCUCGGAGACACCUGGAUCUUUGCUAGAAAGAGAGGUCAGCUGCCAGCUGCUACUGGAAUGGAGCAGACCACUGGAUACACAGCUGGGAGAGUCUAGGCUGGAAUCUGCCUUGCUUUCUCUGGUACACACUCUCAAGCGAUCUCAGCUGGAACAUAGCGGCCACUGGGCCAAGGUAAUGCAUGAGUCACUUUUGCCUUCCUUGCUCUGGAAGGGGCUUUGGCAUUAAAUGCAUCUUGUUCUCACUUCCUGUGGGCAGCUCCAGGGCUCCCGGCUCUGAGUGGAGGAAAUUCUACAGUCCGUGGGGAUAGCAUCUGGCACUGGAGAUGCCUUCAGGGGAAGUGACUUAUGGAUGCAGAUGUGAAUAUUAGCUAAGAGUUCACUGGCUAACGGCACUGCAGUUGCUGGGGUAUCCUGCUCUCAGCAAGCCUGGGAGCCAGCCUGUGGGCUCCUUCAAGGGAGGAGUGAUGCUUUCGUCAUCUCUGUCGCCGGGAUUAAAUAUAGCAUAAACAUUGCCUCAUCUCGUGAUCAGUGGAGGAUGCAUGGAUGGAUGAAUCGAUGAAUUAACAAAUAAAAGCUUUCUUUAAAGUUCA
rnacentral:sRNA from 1 species